rnacentral:rRNA from 1 species
AUUGAACGCUGGCGGCAGGCCUAACACAUGCAAGUCGAGCGGAUGAAGGGAGCUUGCUCCUGGAUUCAGCGGCGUACGGGUGAGUAAUGCCUAGGAAUCUGCCUGGUAGUGGGGGAUAACGUCCGGAAACGGGCGCUAAUACCGCAUACGUCCUGAGGGUGAAAUUGGGUGAUCUUCGGACCUCACGCUAUCAGAUGAGCCUAGGUCGGAUUAGCUAGUUGGUGGGGUAAAGGCCUACCAAGGCGACGAUCCGUAACUGGUCUGAGAGGAUGAUCAGUCACACUGGAACUGAGACACGGUCCAGACUCCUACGGGAGGCAGCAGUGGGGAAUAUUGGACAAUGGGCGAAAGCCUGAUGCAGCCAUGCCGCGUGUGUGAAGAAGGUCUUCGGAUUGUAAAGCACUUUAAGUUGGGAGGAAGGGCAGUAAGUUAAUACCUUGCUGGUUUGACGUUACCAACAGAAUAAGCACCGGCUAACUUCGUG